rnacentral:rRNA from 1 species
AGAGUGAACGCUGGCGGCAGGCCUAACACAUGCAAGUCGAGCGGCAGCGCAGCGGUAGCAAUACUGUGGGCGGCGAGCGGCGGACGGGUGAGGAACACAUCGGAAUCUACCCUGUCGUGGGGGACAACGUAGGGAAACUUACGCUAAUACCGCAUACGACCUUUGGGUGAAAGCGGGGGACUCGCAAGAGCCUCGCGCGAUUGGAUGAGCCGAUGUCCGAUUAGCUAGUUGGCGGGGUAAUGGCCCACCAAGACGAUGAUCGGUA